GACUUAAAACUUAUGCCAAAUACUGAAACUAUGUCGGAGCUAACUCUACUCCUCCAGGAGUCGACUCUGUCUUCUUCAUUUGAAAAUUGCAUGGCUUGACCUCUUAACUCUUGCUUUUUUGGACCUUUAAGAUAGAAGUAUCGAGCAUCUUUGAAAUAAGAUUCUAGAUUUUUAAAAUUUCUCCUCAAAUACUUAAAUAUUUUGUUAGUACUAAUUAUAUAUGCAAAUAUUUUAUUAAUCAUCAAAAUCAAACCCAGGAUCAACAGGUCGGAAUCUAGCAAUGAAAUUGACCAAAAAAAUAGAAGAGGGAGAGA
rnacentral:lncRNA from 1 species